rnacentral:rRNA from 2 species
UGCAGAAUCCCGUGAACCAUCGAGUCUUUGAACGCAAGUUGCGCCCGAAGCCUUCUGGCCGAGGGCACGCCUGCCUGGGUGUCA